UACGUAGGGUGCAAGCGUUAAUCGGAAUUACUGGGCGUAAAGCGUGCCCAGGCGGCUUGGCAAGACAGUUGUGAAAUCCCCGGGCUUAACCUGGGAACUGCAUUUGUGACUGCAUGGCUCGAGUACGGUAGAGGGGGAUGGAAUUCCGCGUGUAGCAGUGAAAUGCGUAGAUAUGCGGAGGAACACCGAUGGCGAAGGCAGUCCCCUGGACCUGUACUGACGCUCAUGCACGAAAGCGUGGGGAGCAAACAGG
rnacentral:rRNA from 1 species